rnacentral:rRNA from 1 species
CAUCACUACGCUAGAUGCAUAUCAAUAAGCGGAGGAAAAGAAACUAACAAGGAUUCUCCUAGUAACGGCGAGUGAAGCGGGAAGAGCUCAAAUUUGAAAUCUUAAAGGUUUUCCCUUGACGAAUUGUAGUUUAAAGAAGUGUUUUCUGUUGGAGUUUCGGUAAAAGUUCUUUGGAAUAGGACAUCAUAGAGGGUGAGAAUCCCGUAUUUGAUCAUUACUUUCUAGCUGUGUGAUACACUUUCAAAGAGUCGGAUUGUUUGGGAAUGCAGUCCAAAAUGGGUGGUAAACUUCAUCUAAAGCUAAAUAUUGGCGAGAGACCGAUAGCGAACAAGUACCGUGAGGGAAAGGUGAAAAGAACUUUGAAAAGAGAGUUAAACAGUACGUGAAAUUGUCAAAAGGGAAGCGUUUGACACCAGUGUUGUUUUUCCGAAAAUCAAUUACGAAUGUUUUGUUUUUGAGAAGUUAUGACUUCAUCGGCUUGCUUCUUUCUUUACGAAACUUUCUUAAUGCACUUUUCGGUUAACAAGUCAACAUCAAUUUCUUUUGUUGUAAAAGGGUAAGAGGAAGGUGGCUUACGCUUCGGCGUAAGUGUUUAUAGCCUUUUACCUCUGCAAUCGGAGAGAUUGAGGACAGCAGCGUAGACUCUUCGGGGUUAGAUACACUUGUGCUAAGCUAUAGCCUUGUAUAGACAACUUGUUGACUAUGCUCAGUCAUGUAGCUUACUCGCUUGUGCUAUUUUACCUACGCUUAGGAUGUUGAUAUGCAUGACUGAUAU